GUUGUUUUUGUAUCUGGUGCUGAUGAUAUUAAAAAACUGAAGAUUAUUGUUAACAGUUUUAAAAAAAUUUCUUCUGCAAAAGUUAACUGGGGAAAAAGUGAGGCCCUUUUAAUGGGCGAUUGGGAUAGGAGUCCUCCCAGUUUGCCUGAAGGUUUAAUUUGGAAGAAAGGCGGGUUUAAAUAUCUUGGCAUUUUUUUAGGGAAUGAUGAUUUUGGUACAAAAAAUUGGGAUUGUAUGUUAGAAAAAAUUAAAGGACGUUUGCAGAAAUGGAAUUGGCUACUUCCCAAACUGUCUUAUCGAGGUCGUACGCUCAUAAUUAACAAUUUGGUGGGCUCCUCUUUAUGGCAUAAACUUGCUUGUGUCGAUCCGCCUCUGGGACUGUUACCAAAACUUCAAGCAGAAAUGGUCAAUUUUUUCUGGGACAAUUUACAUUGGACUCCUCAAAGUGUGCUUUUCCUGCCAAGGGAUGAAGGAGGUCAAGGCUUGGUGAAUCUGGUCAGCAGAGGAGCGACUUUUAGGCUACAGUUCAUUCAGCGACUGCUGAUGGGUCCCCAAAAUUUAGUAUGGAGACCAUUAGCACAAACCAUUUUAUCUGGGGUGAACGGAAUGGGACUUCAUGCUGCACUGUUUCUGAUGGACUAUACUCUCCUGGAUUUGUCUAGACUACCUUCUUUUUAUAAAAGUCUUUUUAAAGUGUGGAGACUUUUUAAACAUGAAUGGACAGAGUCAGCCACAUCUCUUUUUUGGUUGCUUGAGGAGCCGGUGGUGUUUGGAAGUCGCCUUGAUGUGUCAGGAGUUGACCUUCCAGGACUAAAAAACUUGCUUGUGUCAAAGAAACUUUUGCAAUUGAAAGAUAUUUUUGAAAAAGCCGGACCUGGAUUAAAAGAUGCAGAAACUGUUGCUAUACAUCUGGGCAUAAGAUCAGUGAGAGUUGUUAGUAGGUUUCUGAAUAAACUGGAUGGGGUUUUAAACUCCAAGGAAAAAGCUCUACUUGAGAGUUACAGUAUGGGUGAUAUUGUCCCCGAUGCUAACGACCUCUUCCCAGACAUCAGAAGUACACCUGAUCUUGAAGAAUCCUCACAUAAUAGUCCUCUGUUGUGUUUGAAUAAAAAUGAAAAUGUU
ensembl:lncRNA